AUCAAAUCAUGGCCCAUCCUAAAGUCUAGUGCCACUGAAAUUUACAGCCACAGAACUGAAUUAAUCAAGAGGAACAACAACAACAAGAGUUCUCUUCCAAAAUGAUAGUUAAAGGACUGCUAAUGAUCAGCAAAUAGCCAAAGGCAGAGGAGUCAAUCCAAGAUCUCUUCGGUUCUUUCCUAAUCAGGUGUUUUAGAGAUGGGGCUCUGUCACCUAGGCUGGAGCGCAGUGGGGCCAUCAUAGCUCACUGCAGCCUUGAACUCCUGAGCUUAAGCAAUUCUUCUACCUCGGCCUUCCGGGUACCUAGGACUACAGGCGUAAGCCACUACAUCUGGUAGUUUUCUAAAUUAAGGAAAUUUAUAUUUCGAUCAAGGCAACAAAGACAUACAGUAGAUACUUCUGAGAUGUGCCACUAAUCAGAAGAAUGCAUAUAGAGGCAGCUGUUGGCUAGUCCAUAUCCCAAUCCAGAGACGUGAACAUCAAUCACAUGUUAGAUAUCAAGCUUUUUAAAAUGGAAAUAGAGUGAUUUAUUUAAAACCCUGAAAGGGUGUUAGGAGAUAAACUAAGGGUAUUAGGAGGUGGUAUGUAAUAAAGAGUCUAAGAAAGAAAAAAGAACUGAAGGUUCUCAUGAGGCUUUCAUCAGACAGAGAAACUUAUAAGUAUGUUAAUAUUUGUCAAAUUGCAAUUAAAGUACUGGUCUUCAUCACUUAGAAGCAAAAUUAUCUUCUGAAGAAGUUGAUUCAGAAGGAGUGAAUUUUAACUAGCUAGAAACAAUGUAUUAUUAU
rnacentral:lncRNA from 10 species